rnacentral:rRNA from 1 species
AUUGAACGCUGGCGGCAGGCCUAACACAUGCAAGUCGAACGAGUGGCGGACGGGUGAGUAAUGUCUGGGAAACUUCCUGAUGGAGGGGGAUAACUACUGGAAACGGUAGCUAAUACCGCAUACCAUCGGAUGUGCCCAGAUGGGAUUAGCUAGUUGGGGGGGGAACGGCUCCCCUAGGCGACGAUCCCUAGCUGGUCUGAGAGGAUGACAAGCCACACUGGAAAUGAGACAAGGUCCAGACGCCGAAGGGAGGAAGCAGUGGGGAAUAUUGCACAAUGGGCGCAAGCCUGAUGCAGCCAUGCCGCGUGUAUGAAGAAGGCCUUCGGGUUGUAAAGUACUUUCAGCGGGGAGGCGUUACCCGCAGAAGAAGCACCGGCUAACUCCGUGCCAGCAGCCGCGGUAAUUC